rnacentral:rRNA from 1 species
UACGUAGGUGGCAAGUGUUGUCCGGAUUUACUGGGCGUAAAGGGCGUGCAGGCGGUCUGUUAAGUCUAGGGUGAAAGCUCCCGGCUCAACUGGGAGAGGUCCUUGGAUACUGGCGGACUUGAGGGAUGCAGAGGAAAGUGGAAUUCCCGGUGUAGUGGUGAUAUGCGUAGAUAUCGGGAGGAACACCAGUGGCGAAGGCGGCUUUCUGGGCAUUUCCUGACGCUGAGACGCGAAAGCGUGGGGAGCGAACCGG